rnacentral:tRNA from 1 species
ACCUGGCUGGCUUCCCGGGUAGAGCAUGUAACUCUUGAUCUCAGGGUCAUGAGUUCAAGUCUCAUGUUGGGCA